UGGGUCUGUGGAACCUAGGAUGGCUUUGC
rnacentral:piRNA from 1 species